rnacentral:rRNA from 1 species
AUGAGACACCAUGAAAGAGAAGAGAGAGUUGUGCGAGAGGAGGAAGAAGAACAGCGGCGAUGUGAGGUGGCGGCGCCAACAAUUGGCAUCAGAGCGACCAGGUUCGAGGGGCGGCCGUGGCGUGCGGCGGUGUCCAUGGCGCGCGGGGUGAGCGCGGCGGACAUGGAGGCAUCGGCUGCGGUGCACGGCAAGUCUGCGGCGAUGCAGUGUGAUGUCGUGUGUGCGACGAGCAGCGGCGGUCGCGGAGGCGAGCAGGUCGCGGAGGACCUGCGUGGUGGCGCCGAGGCCGUGGCGGCUCAGCACGACGACCGUGAAGGCGCAGUGGCACGUGGCAUGGAGAUGCGGCGCGUUGGCGGAGGCCGCUGCGGCGCGGUGCUAUGCCAUGAAGCAGCGUCCGGGAAGACUUGCGUUUGA